GAAGAGAUAAGUGCUGAAAGCAUCUAAGCACGAAACUUGCCCCGAGAUGAGUUCUCCCUGAGACUUAGAGUCUCCUGAAGGAACGUUGAAGACGACGACGUUGAUAGGCCGGGUGUGUAAGCGCAGCGAUGCGUUGAGCUAACCGGUACUAAUGAACCGUGAGGCUUAACCUU
rnacentral:rRNA from 1 species